CGGACGGGUGAGUAAUGUCUGGGAAACUGCCUGAUGGAGGGGGAUAACUACUGGAAACGGUAGCUAAUACCGCAUAACGUCGCAAGACCAAAGAGGGGGACCUUAGGGCCUCUUGCCAUCGGAUGUGCCCAGAUGGGAUUGGCUUGUUGGUGGGGUAACGGCUCACCAAGGCGACGAUCCCUAGCUGGUCUGAGAGGAUGACCAGCCACACUGGAACUGAGACACGGUCCAG
rnacentral:rRNA from 1 species